AUGAACUGCUUGCUAGACCCAGUCACCAUAGACUGUGGACACAACUUUUGCAGGCCCUGUUUGUAUGUCAGCUGGCCGGACAUCCCAGCUCCUGCUCAGUGCUCUGUAUGCAAGACGGAGAUACGGUGGAGACAACUUAAAACUAACGCUGCUUUGAAGAACAUGGCUUCCAGUGUCAGAAAAGCCAGCCCCUGGCAUUUCCUGAGCCCUGAGGAACCAAGUGUGGGAUUCACAGGAAGACAAAGAAGGUGUUCUGUGAAGUGGACCAGAGCUUACUCUGUUUACUGUGCUCCAACUCUCAGGAGCACCGGGAUCACAGACAUAGACACUGUCCCGUGGACCGGGCUGCUGAGGAAUGUGAGGAGAAGCUCCUAAAGAAAAUGCAGUUUUUAUCAGAAAAAGCUUGUGAAAAUCACAGAAACCUGAACAUGGAAACCACAAGAACCAGAGGCUGGAAGGAUUAUGUGAGCCCAAGGAUAGAAGCAAUCAGAGCUCAAUAUCAGAAGAUGCCGGCGUUUCUCCAUGAAGAAGGGCAACGUUAUUUGGAGAGGCUGCAAAAAAACGGCGAGGACAUUUUUCAGCCACUCAAUGAAAGCAAAGCUAGAAUGAAACAUUCGAGGGAGACGUUAAGAGGAAUGUAUGAGGAGCUGAAGGAAAUGGGCUAUAAACCAGAUGCGGAACUACUUCAGGCUUUUGGAGACAUGUUAUACAGGUGUGAGUUCCUGCUGCUGCAGGUGCCCAAGCCUGUGAAUCCGGAACUCAGUACAGGGCCCAUCGCUGGACUGGUGCACAAGCUCCGUGGAUUCAGAGUUGAUAUUAUUCUGCAUCCUGAAAGAACCAAUAGUCAUACCUUCCUGCAUGGAGAUUUGAGAAGCAUGAAUGUUGGGUGUGACCCUCAAGAUGAUCCCCAUAUCACUGCAGCACCUGGAUGUGUUCUUUCAUGGGGUGCUCAGACUUUCACAUGUGGAAAAUAUUACUGGGAGGUUCAUGUGGGGGACUCUUGCAAUUGGGCUUUUGGAGUCUGUAACAAUUAUUGGAAAGAGAAGAGACAGAAUGACAAGAUAGAUGAAGAGAAGGGACUCUUUCUUCUUGGAUGUGUUAAGGAGGAUGUUCACUGCAGUCUCUUUACCACGUCCCUACUUAUGGUACAAUAUGUUCCAAGACCUAGCAACCAAGUAGGAGUAUUCCUGAAUUGUGAAGAUAGAACCGUGAGCUUUGUCGAUGUUGAUCAAAGUUCCCUUAUACACACCAUCACGAAUUGCUCCUUCUCACCUCCUCUCAGGCCUAUCCAUUGCUGUAGUCACUUCUGAACAGAGACAAAUCAGAAAUGUGCCCACAUGCUAUAGGAACAACUUUAUCUCAGGAAGCUCUAUUUUCGUGCCUCAUCAAAGAGGACAAAUAAGUUACAUUUAAUGUCUUUAGUUGCCUUCUAAUGUCAAAAAACUCAAUAUUGUUUCUGUUGAGUGAAAACA